ensembl:lncRNA
GGGAUGUAUCUCUUUCUGGAGAUCUCUCCUUAGUGAGGUUUUUUCUGUAAACCUGGAAUCUUCUAAUAUGGCUGAGUAAGCUUCUUUAUUUUCUUUAUAGUAUUUCUCUAUUGUACUAGUUCUUUUGUCAUUGCAUUUCUGUUGUAAUGCCUUUCCUACUGUAUUGAUUUGACUAAUUGCUGCAGCAUUGUACUUAUGUUGUGAAAAAAAAAAAAUAGUGGUACUAAGAAAAUCAUUUUCUUGUAAAAUGUACAAUAUGCUAAAGUUAUGGUUGUUUGAUACAGCAGUAUCACUUCUGGAUGGUGAUAUGAAGAGACAGAGUUUGUUUUAAAAGAAAACUAAGCGUUAUGUAAAAGCUUUGCUAUAGUAAUCUUCAAACCCAAGUAGAUACAUCCUUAAGAAAAUAAAGCCUAUAACAUCAGUCUGUAUUUAAUUCUUUCUUUGAGUCAACUAGGCUUUUUUCCUGAAUUCUAAGGGCUUCAUAGGAUUCAAUGUCCUUUCAGCAGCAGAACAGUUAGUCCCAUGAUCCUGUUUUCAGUUAUUCAUGAGCUUUAUCAUUCUAAACCUGUGCUUUCAACUUCUAGCAUUACCAGUGAAAUUAUCUACAGCUGAAAGUCCUUCACACUACUACUACAAGUGCACUGAUUUAUUUAUUAAGGAAGUACUACAACUGGCUGCUGAUCAUGCUAAAAGAAUAAAGGUUGUCUGUCUUCUGUUUAAGUACUGGCCUCUUUCUCUGUGGAGGAUAGAUGAGUAUGUGUUUACCCUUAGAAAUUACUAUAAAAAAUGUAUGUUUAUUGGAGUUUCUCACUGUUUGGGGGGGUAGGGGAAUUGCAGCAGAAAAAUCUACAGGGCUAACUAAAAGAAAGCUUGGAUAACAAUUUUGGCAUGACUUACAAAGAGUGCUAGUGAACAGUGCUGGGGGAAGAUUAAGCUUUCCCCAUGAAGAAAGGGGGGAGUGGGGAAAAGAUGUUGUGUUAGAAAGCUAAUCCACCCAUUAAAAUGCUUGCUGAAGUGCUUGUUUUCUGAACAAACAUAAAAUAGAACCCCAUCUUACAUUUCUAUCUAGGCAAGCUUAGGGGAGCUGUUUUAAAAAACUCAAAUCAGUUGAUUUAUAGCAACACAGUCAUGUGUCUAUGCAUAGGGAAUCCAGAGUUGGCAUGGUGAGAAAUGCUCAAACCACAUCUUAAAUGUGUAAGCAACAGGUUGCAGAGAACUGAUGUGCAUCCCUUGUCUUAUAGCAGGCGGGUGAUAUUUCUCCUAUCCCUGUGUAUAUACCGUGCACAGUCCCAACAGGCUCAGCACUGAGGUGUGGGUAAAAGCAAAUUCUUUUGCGUUCCCCUAAGACUCAGUUGAGUUCUUUGCCCAAGGCAUCCUUUUUGCUGAGGCCUUCUCAGUGAGAGCUGUCUCUGUGCCACCACAGACAGCAGCAAGCAGCCCUCAGUGCUUCCUUCGAAGUGACCAGGGAGGUCUCCUUCCAGCUCUCUGGUGCAGAAACAGGUCCUGCAGCAGGAACCUGUAGCUCCACUGUGAGAGGUUAUCUCAGUCUGUGUGAAGUGUUUUGUCAGCUGCUGCUUCUGCAGUUUGAUCUCUCCAUCAAUAUUUGGUGUGUGGGGAGCUGUGUUUUAUGUGAAACAAACACGUGAAGGCAAAGGGAAGGAUUACAGUGUAGCUAUGAAACUCGACGUGCUCUGG